rnacentral:rRNA from 1 species
UAGCGGCGGACGGGUGAGUAAUGCCUAGGAAAUUCGCCCUGAUGUGGGGGAUAACCAUUGGAAACGAUGGCUAAUACCGCAUAAUGCCUACGGGCCAAAGAGGUUCGUCUCGCGUCAGGAUAUGCCUAGGUGGGAUUAGCUAGUUGGUGAGGUAAUGGCUCACCAAGGCGACGAUCCCUAGCUGGUCUGAGAGGAUGAUCAGCCACACUGGAACUGAGACACGGUCCAGACUCCUACGGGAGGCAGCAGUGGGGAAUAUUGCACAAUGGGCGCAAGCCUGAUGCAGCCAUGCCGCGUGUGUGAAGAAGGCCUUCCGGUUGUAAAGCACUUUCAGUCGUGAGGAAGGUGGUGUAGUAAUCUGCAUUAUUGACGUUAGCGACAGAAAAAACACCGGCUAAAUUUCUGGCAACAGCCGCGGUAAUAAAGGGUGGAGCGUUAAUCGGAAUUAUUGUGCGUAAAACGCAUGGGGGUGGUUUUUUAAAUCAAAUGUGAAAAAUCGGUUAAAAUCGGAAAAACAUUUUUUAUGGCAGACUAGAAUACCGUAGAGGCGGGGAGAAUUUCAGGUCUAACCGGGAAAUGCGUAGAGAUCUGAAAAAAAAAAGUGGCGAACGCGCCCCCCCGACAGUACUGACACUAAGAUACAAAAACGGGCGGAGCAAACAGGAUUCAUACACUGGUAGUCCUAAACGAUGUCUACGGAGGUUGAGAGCUCCCCCCGUGGCUUUCGGAGCUAACGCGGGUAGUAGACGCUGAGGAGUACGCCCGCAAGAUUAAAACUCAAAUGAAUUGACGGGGGCCCGCACAAGCGGUGGAGCAUGUGGUUUAAUUCGAUGCAACGCGAAGAACCUUACCUACUCUUGACAUCCAGAGAACUUUUCAGAGAUGGAUUGGUGCCUUCGGGAACUCUGAGACAGGUGCUGCAUGGCUGUCGUCAGCUCGUGUUGUGAAAUGUUGGGUUAAGUCCCGCAACGAGCGCAACCCUUAUCCUUGUUUGCCAGCGAGUAAUGUCGGGAACUCCAGGGAGACUGCCGGUGAUAAACCGGAGGAAGGUGGGGACGACGUCAAGUCAUCAUGGCCCUUACGAGUAGGGCUACACACGUGCUACAAUGGCGCAUACAGAGGGCAGCAAGCUAGCGAUAGUGAGCGAAUCCCAAAAAGUGCGUCGUAGUCCGGAUUGGAGUCUGCAACUCGACUCCAUGAAGUCGGAAUCGCUAGUAAUCGUGGAUCAGAAUGCCACGGUGAAUACGUUCCCGGGCCUUGUACACACCGCCCGUCACACCAUGGGAGUGGGCUGCAAAAGAAGUAGGUAGUUAACCUUCGGGAGGACGCUUACCAC